UAAAUUUGAGAAUGAAGUUUUGAGACUUGAUCUCUCAACUGCAAGCUGUAAAAAUUGCACUCAAAUUUGUUUGGCGACUUGUUCUCAAACACUCCAUCACUGCCAUCUACAAGCAAUCCUAUAGGAUUUGGUCAAACAACUCCCUCACUUUCAACACCUUUCCAGUCUGUUCAACCUGCUCAGACAACAGGUUCUUUUGGGUUUGGCAGCUUUGGUCAAACACAAGCAGCUGGUACAAGUGGUUUUGGAGGCACGCCAAGCAUUUUUGGUCAGAGUACUUUUGGACAAUCGCACGUUCUUUCCCUUUUCUUUUU